AGGAGAAGCAGCUAUCCAGACGUCACGCUUUGCUCACCGGUAAAGGGAGAUUGAAGGGCCGCACUGUUGACAUUGUCUGUUAAAAAUGUUACACUGAUACCAGUUGAUGAAAGCGAACGAGGAAGAGGCGCCAAUCUGUUUAUCUGUACCUCGAAUUCAGCUGCUUUCUGAAUGAUAUUAACGUGGGAGGAGACACCAAGAGCUGGAAUCUAGCACCGCAGAGACUGAACCGUUAUCUACCGGUCCGAGCGUUUCUAUCGCCUGUGAAUGGAAGGAAAUCAGCGCUUAAGGGGCUGUCCGCAAAAAGCGUACUAAGCUGUAACUAUGUUCCGAAACAGCCUGAAGAUGCUGCUGGGAAGCAAGGGCCGCAAACUUAA